rnacentral:rRNA from 1 species
AGUGAACGCUCGCGGUAGGCCUAACACAUGCAAGUCGAACGGCAGCACAGUAAGAGCUUGCUCUUACGGGUGGCGAGUGGCGGACGGGUGAGGAAUACAUCGGAAUCUACUUUUUCGUGGGGGAUAACGUAGGGAAACUUACGCUAAUACCGCAUACGACCUACGGGUGAAAGCAGGGGAGCUUCGGACCUUGCGCGAUUGGAUGAGCCGAUGUCGGAUUAGCUAGUUGGCGGGGUAAAGGCCCACCAAGGCGACGAUCCGUAGCUGGUCUGAGAGGAUGAUCAGCCACACUGGAACUGAGACACGGUCCAGACUCCUACGGGAGGCAGCAGUGGGGAAUAUUGGACAAUGGGCGCAAGCCUGAUCCAGCCAUACCGCGUGGGUGAAGAAGGCCUUCGGGUUGUAAAGCCCUUUUGUUGGGAAAGAAAAGCAGCAGGUUAAUACCCCGCUGUUCUGACGGUACCCAAAGAAUAAGCACCGGCUAACUUCGUG